GGGUCUGUGGCCUAAUGGAGAAGGCGUCGGUCUCCUAAAGCGAAGGUUCAAGGUUCGAGUCCUUGCUGGGCGG
rnacentral:tRNA from 1 species